rnacentral:rRNA from 1 species
GACGAACGCUGGCGGCGUGCUUAACACAUGCAAGUCGAACGGGCCUUGUCCCCUUUUUUUUUGGGGGUGGGGUUAGUGGCGAACGGGUGAGUAACACGUGAGUAACCUGCCCCUCACUUCUGGAUAACCGCUUGAAAGGGUGGCUAAUACGGGGUGUUCUGGCCUGCUCGCAUGGGUGGGUUUGGAAAGAUUCGACCGGUUUUGGUUGUUUUGGUUGGGGAUGGGCUCGCGGCCUAUCAGCUUGUUGGCGGGGUGGUGGCCUGCCAAGGCUUUGACGGGUAGCCGGCCUGAGAGGGUGGGCGGUCACACUGGGACUGAGACACGGCCCAGACUCCUACGGGAGGCAGCAGUGGGGAAUAUUGCACGAUGGGCGCAAGCCUGAUGCAGCGACGCCGCGUGAGGGAUGGAGGCCUUCGGGUUGUGAACCUCUUUCGCCAGUGAAGAAGGUCCUGCUCUUUGUGGUGGGGUUGACGGUAGCUGGGUUAAUGAAGCGCCGGCUAACUACGUG